rnacentral:rRNA from 1 species
CCGGCGAUGUCCGAAUGGGGAAACCCAGUGCAAUUCGUUGCACUAUCGUUAACUGAAUACAUAGGUUAACGAGGCGAACCGGGGGAACUGAAACAUCUAAGUACCCCGAGGAAAAGAAAUCAACCGAGAUUCCCCCAGUAGCGGCGAGCGAACGGGGAGCAGCCCAGAGUCUGAAUCAGCUUGUGUGUUAGUGGAACGGUCUGGAAAGUCCGACGGUACAGGGUGAUAGUCCCGUACACCAAAAUGCACAGGUUGUGAACUCGAAGAGUAGGGCGGGACACGUGGUAUCCUGUCUGAAUAUGGGGGACCAUCCUCCAAGGCUAAAUACUCCUGACUGACCGAUAGUGAACCAGUACCGUGAGGGAAAGGCGAAAAGAACCCCGGCGAGGGGAGUGAAAAAGAACCUGAAACCGUGUACGUACAAGCAGUGGGAGCACCUUCGGGUGUGACUGCGUACCUUUUGUAUAAUGGGUCAGCGACUUAUAUUCUGUAGC